UCUCCUACAGAUCCCAUUGGGCCUUGCAAACCUCUGAGACCACGUGGGCCCUGAAACACAACAGCAGAGUGUUGGGAAGGCACUUAAACAUUCAGGAUUUUGCCUGGGCUCUCCCUUGUCUCCUUUAUGCCCGGUGUGACCCUACAUGAGCCAGAAAAUACACAGAAUUGAAUACAGACAUGGUGCAUGAUUGAAAACUUACCAGAAGGUCACCAGAAAGAUCAUGAAGAGUACCAGGAAGACCCUGACAGAAGGAGAAAAGACGACACAGGAUGUUGUAUGAAGGCAUUUAAUGAGAGAUCCACUGGGUGGCAGUGGGAAUGUACAGUAUGUGACGGUAAUGUACCAGCAGCACCAGUCAUCACAUGGAUAAUGAUAGCAGCACUUACUGGUGGUCCAUCAGGGCCAGGAGGUCCGGGAAGUCCUGGAAGACCCUCAGCACCCUGAAAAUAAAGCACCAAGAGGACGUGACUCCUCCAUGAGGACGACAUGACAACAAGUCUAAUAGAACAGAUCAGACAGAUACUCACCGCUGGACCCUGGGGUCCGACUCCACCUGGCAACCCGUUAGUUCCAGGUAGUCCCUGGAAACGAAAGACAACAGUACCAUGCUGGACUGAAGGACCACACACUGGAGCCAGAGCAGAACAGCUGUCCACAUCUCUGGGAUAAUUGUACUUUGAGUUUAAUUUAAGAAACUGGACAACAUGUCCUCCAGGAGUCACCGGGCAGCGGAGGAGCAAAGAGAUAAUACCUGCUUCCCUCAGGAUCGGGGCAACAGACCAUCAUCCCCUACAGUCUCACAGGUUGGUGGGAAACAGCGUGCAUUCCGGGCCGGAUUAGAGAAGCAGCAAGAAAUAAAUCCGAUUCUGAUCCCUCAUUAAAAAUAUUCCCACCAAGUGGGUGAGCCGCCUAGACGAAUCCAUACUGACAGAGGAAACACGGGCCUUGUCCCUGUUAGACCCUCCUAGAGAUCUUCAUAUAACAGCACCCAAUCAACAUGCAGCAUUUCUGUGUACAUGCAUGUGUCUCAGUAGCAGCUGACUUUGAGUGGUUGAUUAAUGAGGGGCAGUUUGAAGUAGACAAGCUCGUAAAACUGGACGCAUCUUAGCGUAUCCUCGGCAUCCCAGAAAGAUCAAAAGACACACUUACUGUUUCCCCUGCGGGUCCGUCCUUCCCAGCAGGACCAUCAGGACCUGUCAAACCCUGAAGAGGAAGCACAUAACUCUGUCAUACACCAUCGCUUCAUGCUGUGCUGUUAUUUUAAACAUCGAUCGAUAAUCACUUCAGUUUCAUGGCAGACACCACGCUCUGUUGAGGCUCCUGAAAUUACUUGACAAAGACAAAGGAGUUGUUGGUAUAAGAAUCGUCUGUGUGUGUUUGUUGGACACUUACGUCCACCCCUGGAAGUCCUGGCAGGCCUGGUUUCCCUGCUACCCCUGGUA